UCAAAGUUGGAACCUGCUUGACUUAGUUAAGCCGGAUUGUAAACUGUAGAAGCGUUUUCUAGGCAAGCCGAGUUAAAAAGUCCUUUGGAACAGGGCAUCAUAGAGGGUGAGAAUCCCGUCUUUGACUCGAGUAUUUUGUCUUUUUAUGAUACGUUUUCCAAGAGUCAGGUUGUUUGGGAAUGCAGCCUAAAUUGGGUGGUAAAUCUCACCUAAAGCUAAAUAUUGGCGAGAGACCGAUAGCGAACAAGUACCGUGAGGGAAAGAUGAAAAGAACUUUGAAAAGAGAGUUAAACAGUACGUGAAAUUGUUAAAAGGGAACCGUUUGGAGCCAGAUUGGCUUGGUUGUAAUCAGCCUGGGCUUUGGCCUUGGUGCACUUGCAACCUAUGCCUGCCAACGGCAGUUUUCUUCAAUAGGGAGAAAAUCUUUAGAAAUGUAGGUCAGCUUCGGUUGGCUGUUAUAGUCUAGGGAAUAAUACCUUGAAGGGGACUGAGGAUCGCAGUGAAUGCGUAAGCGGUAAUUAGGUAUCUUCGUUCGUGGGUAUAUUGGUGGAAUUUCUAUGUUCGGGUAGUGCUAUUGAUAUAUCUGUGGGCAAGGUGCUUAAUUUCUAAU
rnacentral:rRNA from 1 species